rnacentral:rRNA from 1 species
UACGGGGGGGAGCAAGCGUUGUUCGGAUUUACUGGGCGUAAAGGGCGCGUAGGCGGCGCAACAAGUCACUUGUGAAAUCUCCGGGCUUAACUCGGAGCGGUCAAGUGAUACUGUCGUGCUAGAGUGCGGAAGGGGCUACUGGAAUUCUCGGUGUAGCGGUGAAAUGCGUAGAUAUCGAGAGGAACACCUGCGGCGAAGGCGGGUAGCUGGGCCGACACUGACGCUGAUGCGCGAAAGCCAGGGGAGCGAACGGG